CCAUACUUUUUGACCUUAUUUGGGACAAGCUCUUUAAGUUAAACGAAACAACAUAGUGAGAUGUUUUUCGAGUGUGCCCCAAGUUGUAAAUAAAUGUCUCUGAAUGUGUAGUGCACAUCGUGGUGAGCUCUCGUUGAAGGAGGACUAAACUAACCUCUUCGGCAGGCCUGAAUACUGUGAAAAUGGGUGUUUUGCCAAAAAAAUCGAUGCAAGUCUCAGCCAAUUCCAUAUUAAAUCCGAGUCGUCGUUCAUUUAAUUCCAAACAAUAUUUAUCCAAUAUAUGAGACCGAAGGAAUUGACAGUUGGGUUGUUCUAGUUUUCUAUGAAGAAAAGAAUCGAUACCGGGAUCUCGCAUGGAACAAAUAAUUUCGUUGUGCACAUCUAGCAAAAGCGAUUUCAUUUUAUUAAUCUGUAAGAUGAAUAAACCGACUUUGAUUCGAAAAAAAAAACAAUUCUAAUUAAAGUACAUUGUCGUCGAUAUCUUGGCUGGAAUCUAUAUUUUUGUGCAGAGAGUGCAGACCAGUCGAUGGUAACUGUGGAAGUAUAGAUAUUAGUCGAAAAUCGUAGGAAAAGACUACAGUGGUAGCCAUAGAUACGAAGUGCGCUUUACCUAAAGUUGUCGUACCCGUUGCAUUCAAAGUGUGUCGAUGAAUUCCAUUAAAUCCCGAUUGCACCGAAUCCGAAUUUGUACAGGGUCACGUGAAGUUAUAUUGGCAAAUGAUUCGGUGUUCUCUGUGAAGAGAAGCAUGAUUGACUGAAGAAAGAAUUGAGUAAAUGAUUAGUAAUUGAAUUUUGGGAAGUCUAUUUCAGACACUCUGACUUGUUACUGUUAAUGUUAAAUCAAUACUUACAGGAACUUGACUUUGUCAGUGUAUGUUGCACCACACACUUCACAACGGAACACAUUCGCUGAAUGUAAUGGACCAGAUUCGUUUGGCCGACGUCUUUUCGAUAUCAGUUGGGAUUCUGGACUCUCUCCAUCGUUAUCAUCGUCACUCGAGCAUGUCGUUGAGGAGGAUACAAAAAGUUCAAAAAUUCAACAAGAACGGGUCAAAAUUGAACCUAAAAACUAGCGAUACUUACAGGAACUUGACUUUGUCAGUGUAACUGACAUCGCAACCAUCACAGCAGUACAUAUUUGGUACAGUCGACGUUUUUUUUUUUAUUCGACCGUGAUGAUUUUGAUGUCAAUUUUGGGAAUGCACUCUACAAACAAUAUUCCAUACGUUUAAGUGAUCUUGUGCUGCUACCAAAAGGUAUCAACGUUUUAAAUACCUUUCGUCGGUGUUUGAUGAAACCAUUUUUCCACAAUGGAUGCAAAAGAAUUUCCGUUUCGGUGUUUUCGAAUCUGUCGUAGCACUAGUAUCUGAGUCCUUUAUAGGUUCUUCGCCAUUAAAAAUGCCACUUUCCAACAUGUGUUCGUCGGGUGGAGGAUGUUUUCUGUUGUUGAAUAUCGUAUUACGAAUUGAAUUGAUAACAAGAAGAGACCGGCUAAAGCCUGGUGAGGUCUUUUUUCUUUUUCUCAAUUUUUUUCUGGAGGCAAGCAGGAAUUACAGUUUCAUCAGUACAUAUUAAGUUGUUGACUAGUAAACAUCUCCACCAACUUUUUACCAAUUUGAUAUUCAACUACUACCAAUUUAGUAGUCAGCUACCACAUUAUCGAAAUAUAAAUAGGCAAGCAGCCUAAAUAAUUUAAUCAGUUUGUGUACAGCUCUCACGGUAGUCAACUACCAGUUUGGUAGUCAACUACCAAAAAUUAGGCUUUAAAUAGGCAAGUAGGUAUAAUAAUAUCGUCAGUUGGUGAGUAGUUCUCGAACAGUAAACAUCUCUGCUCCGAAAAUUACGUUUGAUAGUCAAUUGUAGCCUUGCUAGUCAGCUACCAACUACCAAAUUUUCGAAUUGCAAAGUGAACUGUUGGCUAUCAUCAGAUAACAAAUAAUUAUUAUUUGCCUGGUGUUGAUAUGCUCAUGGUGGCUUUACAAUUUUGAAUGUCAAUCAAGCUCGCAACUACCAUAACUACCAACUAACACAACUACCAAAAAUACCAACUACAGACUGAAAGCUACCAAAACUACCAAAUUUGAUGGGGACCCAUUUUUAUUACGCAAAUCGCAUAAUUAAUUUUGUAUAAAACGAAUGGAUUUUUUCCAACUCCAUGUCGCUAUGUUGCUGCAAAUUAGAUCUACAGAUUGCUGGAAUAAAAUAUUGGUCCAACCCCAUUAAUAAUAAUGUUAAUUAAUAAAUAAUAGAAAAUUCUCGUCAUUCAACGAUGUCUAACUCAAUGAAAUGGAAAUCAUUAUCGAAUGAUUAUGUUCCUCCGGCGCUUGGUACUUGGUUUGCAGUGCGUUGGCUGCAACUUUUUAUCAUCUAUUUUCGCCGUACUAUUUUCGAAAACAAAAGCGCAUUCCAAACUUCAUCCCGAAAUGAGAGGAGCCGCGAAAUCAAUUCCAUAUUUUAAUAAAUAAUGAAAGAUAAUGCAUCGAAUUUCCGUUUGAAAUACCGAUACGAUAUGUCCUCGAACUUCAAUAGCCUCUACGCCCGUUUCUACCAAUUUUGCAAUGAAAAAAUUGUACCAAUUUCAUGUGAAUUUUAGAUAAGUAAAGAAUUACAACCUUAGUGUACGCGAUAAGACUACACGUUCGUAAUAAUUUGAUAGCUAUUUCAUUGCUAUCACGAAAUCUGUUAACAUUCUAUUGACGUUGUAUGUUGUGUGUC